ensembl:lncRNA
CCUCACUUCCCACAUGGGGCAGCGACCAGGCAGAGACGUUCCUCACUUCCCAGACGGGGCGGCGGCCGGGUAGAGGCCCAACUCCCCAGACGGUAGGGGGCGCUGGGCAGAGGAGCUCGUCACUUCCCAGAUGGUGGGGCAGCCGGGCAGAGGCACACCCCACUUCCCAGACGGGGCGGCAGCCGGGCAGAGGCACUCCCCACUUCCCAGAUGGGGUGUCCUUUGCCAAUUUUUAUAAAAAAAUUUGGCAUAGUGCUUGCAUACAUUUGCAGGUUGUAUUCCAGAUGCCUUGACUCCAAUAAUGUAAGAGAAAACACAAUGAGUGCACCUGCAGUCAAAGGAGGCUUUCAGGAGGGCACACUUGAUUUGCUCCACAAGGCUGGGGGAGGCACUCAGUAGGUGAGGCUGGGAUGCCCAGACGGGAGCUCCCCCAACGAUCCAGGAAUACAGAGCUUUUUCAAUGUUAGCUUGAAAUCUUGGCUAAUAGGCAGAAAAAGGCUCUUCUCACCAUGAGGGAAGACUCGGGAGCUGUGGAGGGGAAUGGGGUCCAUUUAUUCCAUCCAAGACGGGGCAAGGAAGGACAGGAGGACGCCCAAGUGUGGAGCUGUUUCCUCCCAAUAGUGAAUGUCUGGUAACUUUACCCACGAGUUCGGAUUUUUCUUGUUAGUCAGACUGAGUUCUGAUUUCCAAGAUUAGGCGAAAUCCAGAGCAGUUUGGGAAAUGAAGGAAUCUGGCUGCACAAUAAGAGUCAGAACCAUUGCCCUACCGUAAGCAAUACCUUAGCAGAAACAAAUUCCUUUGUGCAUUCAUUCUAUCCACAGACUAUUUUCAGAGAAGAGAAUGUCCCAGCUAGAAAUGCAAGUGCACGAGUGCCAACCCAGUGAGGUCAAUGAUUUGCGAGUGGAGACCCUGAGCACUUGCCAAGCUGUGUGGCGAUCAGCUGGUGAUUUUGCUGCAAAGCACCAUCAACUCCGUGGAGCUUGCCAAGACAGUGACAGCCCAGCAAGUCUUCAGGGAUGUGUCCUGCAGAGGUAAGUGGGAAUGGGGCACAGUCUUGGGGUUCUAGGACUCGAUCGUUCCUAGGCUACCUCCUUUCUCUGGAGACAGUCCGGUAUAGUAGUUAGAAGUACAGUUUUAAAUGCAGAGUCAUCUCAGUGAGUUCACAUCUUGGCUGUGCUUCUCACUAGCUAUGCAGCCUUGGGCAAAUGACUUCUAGCUUGUGCCUCUGUUUCCUCAUUGGAAAAACAGAGGUAAAAAUAACUGUUACCUUUAGGGAUUUUUAGUGAGGGUGGUGUGAGGUGCUGAGAACAGGGCUCGCUCUGCAAUGGUUUCGCAGUGGUUUAUCUGUGAUUACUGCCUGGAAGAGCAGGCUUCGCCUCCAACUGGGCGUGGGUAUUAAGCUUUCGCUGUGUGCUAAGCACUGUGCCAGGCAUGGAGAAUGCACACAGAGAAGACAGCCCCUGCCCUCAGCGAGCUCCCUGUAGGCUAGGGAGGGUGAGGCUGUCCACACGGUGAGACGGUGCAGGACAGCAUGCACUGGGCUGCUUAGACGGGAGCUGCAGUGCCCGCAGGACGGCAAGCAGGCGGCGGUCAGGGGA